CUUUUUAAAAAAAAUAUAUCUUAACCAAUUCACGCUCAAUUCUCACAUCUCUCAAAAACUCCCUUUUCUCUCAUAUCUCACUUCCUCUCCCUUUCUCUCUUAUACAAUUUGAGAUACAGUCCCUUGAAAUUCUCUCUCAUACGGCCUCACCGGCGAACCUAAAGACGUUCGUGACUCGGCAAUCGAACCUCCUGCUGGUUGCUUCGUGUCGGUGUUGUGAGUUGUGACUCAGAUCUUCUACAUGGCUCACUACCUCACCUACGGCCUACCUGCAGCAGCAGAAUUGCGCGAAACUCGAUGGACGACGGUGGGCGGUGGACGAACGACAGUGGACCUCCAAGACUCGUGACUAGAUUCCACCUUAUGCUCAUCCUACAGUGCGAGACAACUACGACGUCAAAGAAUCGUUCCCUUCACCAGACAACAACAACAGCAAAUGCGCAUUUUUGAAGGUGGAGUCAUGUUCGUGGUCUUCGAAAUUCGGAGUUCCAAACUCCAGUCUCCAGUGACUUACCAGCUCAUUCAGUAUCUAGCAUGAAUUAUAUCUUUCUCCCUGGUGCUUGCAGGUCCCUGUUUUGGCCUCUAGAAGACUGCAUCUUUUUUACAAUUGUGAACUUAUCACUAAUAAGGCGACAAGCAAUUCCUGAUAAGUACUUUGGCGGAGUUACAACUGAAUUUUCUCAAAAUAAGCUUGAUGAGCUCAGAGACUUGUGGAUCAAAUAUGUGGAUGAGUAAAACAAGUGGAUGAAGAAGAAUUGGAAGAUAAUGACCAUUUUAAUUAGGAUGUGUGUAUUUUCUUUUUGAGCGGGAUUAGGGAGGUGCUUGUAUUUUAGUGCACAUGAAUUGGAAGAAACGAUAGGCCUAGGUGUUCUAUUAUUUUUUUAUAACUUAGUUGAAUUUUUGAAAUCUUUUAAACAUUAUUUGUGAUUUUGUAGUGAAUGAUAUUAAAUGAAUGAAAAAGUAUUCCAAUUUUAAAGUCA